rnacentral:rRNA from 1 species
GAUGAACGCUGGCGGCGUGCCUAAUACAUGCAAGUCGAGCGAACAGACGAGGAUCUUGCUCCUCUGACGUUAGCGGCGGACGGGUGAGUAACACGUGGAUAACCUACCUAUAAGACUGGGAUAACUUCGGGAAACCGGAGCUAAUACCGGAUAAUAUAUUGAACCGCAUGGUUCAAUAGUGAAAGACGGUUUUGCUGUCACUUAUAGAUGGAUCCGCGCCGCAUUAGCUAGUUGGUAAGGUAACGGCUUACCAAGGCAACGAUGCGUAGCCGACCUGAGAGGGUGAUCGGCCACACUGGAACUGAGACACGGUCCAGACUCCUACGGGAGGCAGCAGUAGGGGAUCUUCCGCAAUGGGCGAAAGCCUGACGGAGCAACGCCGCGUGAGUGAUGAAGGUCUUCGGAUCGUAAAACUCUGUUAUUAGGGAAGAACAAAUGUGUAAGUAACUAUGCACGUCUUGACGGUACCUAAUCAGAAAGCCACGGCUAACUACGUG